GACGAACGCUGGCGGCGUGCUUAACACAUGCAAGUCGAACGGAAAGGCCCUGCUUGCAGGGUACUCGAGUGGCGAACGGGUGAGUAACACGUGGGUGAUCUGCCCUGCACUUCGGGAUAAGCUUGUGAAACUGGGUCUAAUACCUGAUAGGUGCCAUCUUUAGUGUGGUGGUUGGAAAGUUUUUUCGGUGUAGGAUGAGCUCGCGGCCUAUCAGCUUGUUGGUGGGGUAAUGGCCUACCAAGGCGGCGGCGGGUAGCCGGCCUGAGAGGGUGUACGGCCACAUUGGGACUGAGAUACGGCCCAGACUCCUACGGGAGGCAGAAGUGGGGAAUAUUGAACAAUGGGCGCAAGCCUGAUGCAGCGGCGCCGCGUGGGGGAUGAAGGCCUUCGGGUUGUAAACCCCAUUCGCUAGGAACGAAGCUUUUUGUGACGGUACCUAGAUAAGAAGCACCGGCUAACUACGUG
rnacentral:rRNA from 1 species